UACGAGGGGGGCAAGCGUUGUUCGGAAUUAUUGGGCGUAAAGGGCGCGUAGGCGGCGCCACAAGUCACUUGUGAAAACUCUGGGCUCAACUCAGAGCCUGCAAGCGAAACUGUGGUGCUGGAGUAUGGGAGAGGUGCGUGGAAUUCCCGGUGUAGAGGUGAAAUUCGUAGAUAUCGGGAGGAACACCAGUGGCGAAGGCGGCGACCUGGGCCAAUACUGACGCUGAGGUGCGAGAGCGUGGGGAGCAAACAGG
rnacentral:rRNA from 1 species